rnacentral:rRNA from 1 species
CAAUAGCGUAUAUUAAAGUUGUUGCAGUUAAAAAGCUCGUAGUUGGAUUUCUGGUGGGAGCGAUCGGUCUGGCGCUUAGCGCGAGUACUUGCAUCGUCUCCGGCCAUCCUUGGGGAGAGUCUGUCUGGCAUUAAGUUGUCGGGCAGAGGAUCCUCAUCGUUUACUGUGAAAAAAUUAGAGUGUUCAAAGCAGGCUUAUGCCGUUGAAUAUAUUAGCAUGGAAUAAUAAGAUAGGACUUUGGUACUAUUUUGUUGGUUUGCGCACCAAAGUAAUGAUUAAUAGGGACAGUUGGGGGUAUUCGUAUUCCGUUGUCAGAGGUGAAAUUCUUGGAUUUACGGAAGACGAACUACUGCGAAAGCAUUUACCAAGGAUGUUUUUAUUAA